rnacentral:rRNA from 1 species
GUGUCAGCCGCCGCGGUAAUACAGAGGGUGCAAACGUUGUUCGGAAUUACUGGGCGUAAAGCGCGUGUAGGCGGCCCUGCAAGUCGGAUGUGAAAUCCCACGGCUCAACCGUGGAAGUGCAUUCGAAACUGCGGGGCUGGAGUACUGGAGAGGAAGGUGGAAUGCUCGGUGUAGAGGUGAAAUUCGUAGAUAUCGAGCGGAACACCGGUGGCGAAGGCGGCCUUCUGGACAGUAACUGACGCUGAGACGCGAAAGCGUGGGGAGCAAACAGGAUUAGAUACCCCUGUAGUCC